ACUCAAAGGAAUUGACGGGGGCCCGCACAAGCGGUGGAGCAUGUUGUUUAAUACGUCACUAACCGUAGAACCUUACCAGGGCUUGACAUCUGCUGACCGCUCCUGAAAGGGAGUCUUCCCCGCAAGGGGACAGCAAGACAGGUGUUGCAUGGCUGUCGUCAGCUCGUGUCGUGAGAUGUUGGGUUAAGUCCCGCAACGAGCGCAACCCUCACCCCAUGUUGCCAUCAGGUGAAGCUGGGAACUCUUGGGGAACUGCCUGUGUAAGCAGGAGGAAGGUGGGGAUGAUGUCAAGUCAGCAUGGCCCUUACGCCCUGGGCUACAAACAUGCUACAAUGGACGGUAGACAAAGGGAACCGAGACCGUAAGGUGGAGGCAAUCUCAAAAAUCCGUUCCCAGUUCGGAUCGCAGGCUGCAACUCGCCUGCGUGAAGUCGGAAUCGCUAGUAACCGCCGAUCAGCCAAGCGGCGGUGAAUACGUUCCCGGGCCUUGUACACACCGCCCGU
rnacentral:rRNA from 1 species